CUUGCACGAUGCUAUGUGAAGUCAGGAAUCGGAGCAAUUUCAUAGUUACAGAUCGUUGACAGGUAGACUCGUGACUCGGACUUGGUCGUGAAAGUUUUCGAACGGCAUUCCGCAUUCAUGAGACAAAAAACAAGGUAUUACAAUUUUGAACGAAAAAGAACAAGAAAACCGACGUUAGUAAUGUUCAAGAGUGGAGGAAGUUUCACAUCCUAAAAUCUUUUACAACUCACAGCAAACACUAAGAACGCAUAAUCCUGCUUAUUUGUCCGCACAGUAUAUAUCAUCUCCAUCGACAAUGGAAAGCUGAAUGGUUC
rnacentral:lncRNA from 1 species